CGCGUAGGCGGCACUGUAAGUCAGAUGUGAAAGUCCAGGGCUCAACCUUGGAAGUGCAUCUGAAACUGCAGAGCUUGAGUAUUGGAGAGGAAAGUGGAAUCCCUGGUGUAGAGGUGAAAUUCGUAGAUAUCAGGAGGAAUACCGGAGGCGAAGGCGACUUUCUGGACAAAUACUGACGCUGAGGCGCGAAAGCGUGGGGAGCAAACA
rnacentral:rRNA from 1 species